UUUUUUUUCUUGGUUCGUCCAUUUCAUUUGGUUUUUACAUUGUUCGUUCUUGUUUUUGGUUUGUAUACAUUUUAAAUAUUCUAAAUACAGAUCGUUGAAUUAAUUAAUUCACUUCAAUUUUUAAAAUCUUCCAUUAUGCAUUAAAAAAUAUUGGACACGCGAGAUUUAAAAAAUGUAUGUACAAUUCAAUAUAAAGUUUCACUUGCACUAAGAAAACAUCAACGUCUAUUCAAGAAAUGUUCAUCACGGAUUUUAUAAAUGUUAAACAUGUAUUUUAAAAUUCAAAUAUGUAUUUUGAAGACAUUUUCAUUAUGUAUUUGAAAAUGUUCAAAAUGUAUAAAAAUAUCAGCGUGUAUACAAGAAUAUACAAUGAAUAUACGAAAAAAUGAUCAAAUAUAUUAAAAAAUGUUCACCUUGUAUUUAACAAAAUGUUCAAGGUGUAUCGGAAAAUUGUUUCACAUCCAAUGGAAAAUGUUCAACGUGUAUUCAAAAAAUGUUUAACAAGUAUUUGGAAAAAAAAUGCUCAAACAUGCAUUUAAAACAAAUCAUCAUGCAUAUGAAUAAUGUUCAAUGUGUACCCAGAAAGGUUCAAUGUGUAUGUGGACAAUGUACAAUAUGUAUAGGAACUAUAUACAAUGUGUAUUCAUAAAAAUGGUGAACAUCUGUUUUAAAAAUAUCAUCAUGUGUUCAAAAAAAAAUCAACGUGUAUUUCUGUAUUCAAAAAAAUGUUGGGACAUGUAUAUAAAAACAUGUUCAUCACAUAUUUGAAAAAUGUUCAAUGAUUAUAAAAACAAAGUGCAGAGUGUAUGCGAAAAUGUACAGCAUUUAUUAAAUAAAUCGGCAUGUAUUUUAAAAAUAAUGAAAAUAUAGAAAUAACCAAAAACAAAUGAACAAAUGUUCGACAUGAAUUUUUGAAUUUUUAAUUUCCAAUAUUUUUCAAAUUAACAAAACAGACUAUAUUAUUUUGCAAGACACCCAAUAUUUUUGUAAAUUGACCACACUGUUAAAAUUCGCAGCGUUUUGCGAAAUUCAUGUGUUGUUAUUUGUCUAGCUACAAAUGGAUUCGGCCAACGUAGUUAGCAUAGUCAUCUACAAAUGGAUUGACUAUGUCUGGCUUACUCCUUAAAAACCGAAUAAUAAUAACAUAUUCUCUACGUCCCAUAAUGUAAGACAUUUUUUCACAAUAGUAUAGUGUCAAAAAGCGUCUUGCAUUAUGAGAUGGAAGGAGUAGUUGUUAGAGGCUUAUGCGUAUCAAAUCAAACACCCAUAGACCAAGCAGUUCGAGGUUUACCUCCAAGCCAGUCCUCUAAACUAGUUUGACAAAUUAUUGCAAUCCUGGGUACAUUUUGCGUAAGUUAUUUCGUAACAUCGUACAUUCGUACCCCACACACACACAGUCACCCCACACCCGCAUCGAUUACUGAAAUAACCCCAGCAAAUCACUCUCGAAAGCAAUCAAACGUAACCAACUGAAAACCACCCAACUGAAGUUUCAG
rnacentral:lncRNA from 1 species